rnacentral:rRNA from 1 species
UACAUAGGGGGCGAGCGUUAUCCGGAAUUACUGGGCGUAAAGGGUGAGUAGGCGGUUAAUUAAGUUUAGGGUAUAAGUGCAGUGCUUAACGCUGUGAGGCUCUAAAAACUAAUUGACUAGAGUUGGAUAGAGGCAAGUGGAAUUCCAUGUGUAGCGGUAAAAUGCGUAAAUAUAUGGAGGAACACCAGUGGCGAAGGCGGCUUGCUGGGUCUUAACUGACGCUGAGGCACGAAAGCGUGGGGAGCAAACAGG